ensembl:lncRNA LINC02029 long intergenic non-protein coding RNA 2029
GGCAGGAGGAGCGGCCUGGCUUUGUCUGAGUCAGGCAGCCCAGCGUGUGGGAUGCCAGGCUGGAUGUGCUGGGCCUGACCAGCCGCCCGCUUUCCUCUUCUCUUGCCUCUGCCUGCCCCCUGGUGGACAGCUGGGGUAAAGCAUGGGAGUGCGCCUUUGGGGUCUCAGUGGGGCUGAAAUACGACUCCUCCCCUAGGACAGCCUGCCUUCCCCAGCCUUGUUCUCCGGCAAAGUCAAUUUCCUGGAGAAUCGAGGCUCUGCCUCAGAUGUUCGGAGCCUCCGCAGGAUGAACACCUCCAUUUCAAUUCCAGGGGCUUUGAUCAACCUGUGCCUCCCUUGAUCCCCAACUUGUGGGCACCUUCCCUUGAGCAGUGCCCCCACGAGGUACACCUUUCCCGGGAAACAAAAAUCAUUCCUUCUUUGGGUCCUGCAAGCUGUAAAGAACCAAUACAGCACUGUGCUACUGAACAUGUUGCCACUAUAGAAGCCCCUUGUGUUUUGAAGAGUACAUCUCUAUAGCCAUUCGUUUAUUCAUCAGAAACCAGCUAGAAGCCAGGCCCUGUGCUGGGCGCUGGAGACAUGGAAGAAACUGGGCUGAGGCUCCCGCCUUGAAGAGCUUGUGGCCCAGGGAAGGGACAGUUCAUCUGUCAUUGAUUGCCACGUGACAGUGUCUAUGAUGCUAAAAAGAUGCCAGUGCUGUGCUGCAGGAGCAAAGGCCGUGGAGGAAGAGGCUUUGGCUUUGUUGCGAGUCCUUGCCAGAGCCAGGCAAAGCCAGUCACCGCUUUGUUCAGAUGACUCAGGUAAAUAAAUGAGGCCGCACAGGCUGUCCUGACACCACACACCUCUAGAAUACCCUGGCUGUGCUGGGAGCUAUUGGUGUCAGCUGAGUAUUUUCAUCCCUGUCCAAGUCACAAUGAUCUGACUGUACCAGCCUGUGUGGAUGUUGCUAAGAGGAGGCAGACAGCACCAUGAGCUCCCUUAGAUGACGAUCGGCAUGAUGUUCCUGCUGUGGCAGCGCUCAGCUCUUGCCAAUGCUCUUCUCUGCUUUGCUCACUUUAAGCCUCCCUUAAUUUUUUUGAAGCCCAGUUUCCACAUUGCUGAUUCACAGAUAUGCAAGACUCAGGCAGGAAAAAAAAAAGUGUCUCCUUUUCCAGACUUCUUAGAGGACUUGGAAAGAAAAUGAAAUGACGUUGAACGAAAUCAAAGUAAAUUGAGUGAUCUGAAACGAUUUGAUGUCAGCAAGAAUUCCCCAUACAGCUCACAGCCCUACCCCGAGCACGCCUCCCUCUUGGGUAUGGUGAGUUCAGCUCCAAAUUUAUUCUGACAAGAAAGCACAGGCAAUGGCUUCAGUGGGUCUAAAUCAGGUGAAAAUUCAAAGCAAUCACCCUUCCUGGACAAUCUUCUGCUUUCUCAGUGCUUAUCAUGGUCUGAAAAUUCCUAUUUAAAGAAGCAGAGCUUUCUUUUAAGUCCUAACAGAACAAAGUCACACUCAACAGUGCACAGGCACACGCCGGGAUCGAGAAUGCAUUUUUGGCAAAAAGUCUCCUCUUUUCUCUGUCUCCUCCAGCUCUCUGCAGGCCCAAACCUUGCAGAAGCCAUUCCAUGUUUCCUGAGCAGGAAAAGACAAACUCAGACCGACAACCUUGGACUUCAAAAGACUGCACACAAGGGGAGGAAGGACUGAGAGUACCAAGGCGUGAGAAUUCAGAAUGCUGCUAUCUCAUUUAUUUUUACCAUUUAGGAAACGUUUUGAUCUGCAUUCCUUUUCCCUUCCCUGAUUUCAAAAAAUAAAAAUAAAAAUGCUUCGGUUCUGAGGA